UGGGGAAUCUUGGACAAUGGAGGAAACUCUGAUCCAGCCAUGCCGCGUGAGUGAUGAAGGCCUUCGGGUUGUAAAACUCUUUUGGCGGGGACGAUAAUGACGGUACCCGCAGAAUAAGCUCCGGCUAACUUCGUGCCAGCAGCCGCGGUAAUACGAAGGGGGCUAGCGUUGUUCGGAAUUACUGGGCGUAAAGCGUGCGCAGGCGGCUGCUCAAGUCAGGGGUGAAAGCCCAGAGCUCAACUCUGGAAUUGCCUUUGAGACUGAGUGGCUUGAGUACGGGAGAGGUGAGUGGAAUUCCCAGUGUAGAGGUGAAAUUCGUAGAUAUUGGGAAGAACACCGGUGGCGAAGGCGGCUCACUGGCCCGUAACUGACGCUCAGGCACGACAGCGUGGGGAUCAAACAG
rnacentral:rRNA from 1 species